UCUGUUGAUGGACAUCUAGGUUCUUUCCAUAGUUUGGCUAUUAUAAAAAAUGCUGCUUUAAACAUAGGGGUGCAUGUGUCUCUUUGAAUUAGUGUUUUUGUAUUCUUUGGGUAAAUACCCGGUAAUGUAAAUACUGGAUCAUA